rnacentral:rRNA from 1 species
AGUGAAUAUAGGACGUCCAACUUAACUUGGAGUCCGAACUCUCACUUUCUAACCCUGUGCACUUGUUUGGGAUAGUAACUCUCGCAAGAGAGCGAACUCCUAUUCACUUAUAAACACAAAGUCUAUGAAUGUAUUAAAUUUUAUAACAAAAUAAAACUUUCAACAACGGAUCUCUUGGCUCUCGCAUCGAUGAAGAACGCAGCGAAAUGCGAUAAGUAAUGUGAAUUGCAGAAUUCAGUGAAUCAUCGAAUCUUUGAACGCACCUUGCGCUCCAUGGUAUUCCGUGGAGCAUGCCUGUUUGAGUGUCAUGAAUACUUCAACCCUCCUCUUUCUUAAUGAUUGAAGAGGUGUUUGGUUUCUGAGCGCUGCUGGCCUUUACGGUCUAGCUCGUUCGUAAUGCAUUAGCAUCCGCAAUCGAACUUCGGAUUGACUUGGCGUAAUAGACUAUUCGCUGAGGAAUUCUAGUCUUCGGACUAGAGCCGGGUUGGGUUAAAGGAAGCUUCUAAUCAGAAUGUCUACAUUUUAAGAUUAGAUCUCAAAUCAGGUAGGACUACCCGCUGAACUUA